CCUGCCCAGAAGCGGGGGAUAACACCUGGAAACAGAUGCUAAUACCGCAUAACAACUUGGACCGCAUGGUCCGAGCUUGAAAGAUGGCUUCGGCUAUCACUUUUGGAUGGUCCCGCGGCGUAUUAGCUAGAUGGUGGGGUAACGGCUCACCAUGGCAAUGAUACGUAGCCGACCUGAGAGGGUAAUCGGCCACAUUGGGACUGAGACACGGCCCAAACUCCUACGGGAGGCAGCAGUAGGGAAUCUUCCACAAUGGACGAAAGUCUGAUGGAGCAACGCCGCGUGAGUGAAGAAGGGUUUCGGCUCGUAAAACUCUGUUGUUAAAGAAGAACAUAUCUGAGAGUAACUGUUCAGGUAUUGACGGUAUUUAACCAGAAAGCCACGGCUAACUACGUGCCAGCAGCCGCGGUAAUACGUAGGUGGCAAGCGUUGUCCGGAUUUAUUGGGCGUAAAGCGAGCGCAGGCGGUUUUUUAAGUCUGAUGUGAAAGCCUUUCGGCUCAACCCGAAGAAGUGCAUCGGGAAACUGGGAAACUUGAGUGCAGAAGAGGACAGUGGAACUCCAUGUGUAGCGGGUGAAAAUGCGUAGAUAUAUGGAAGAACACCAGUGGCGAAGGCGGCUGUCUGG
rnacentral:rRNA from 1 species